rnacentral:lncRNA from 1 species
UUCCUCGCUGUACAGUAAGCAUUUUGUCGCGCGUUCCUCGCUGUACUGUAAGCAUUUUGUCGUGCGUUCCUCAAAACUGUGAUUAUUGUCUGUGCUGUAGAUGGCAUCUGGGUCAAGGAGUGUUGGGGUAUGGAGACUAGAGGGCUUAGGCUAUUUCUGUGAUGGGUGGCCGGCGGUGGGGAAUGAGGUAUUGUCAUUCCUCUUCUGUACGUUCAGUCCACUCCAGACUAUUGAACAUAAUAAUGAACAGAUUUGUUAAAGAUUUAAGCAUUGGAGGCUACUCCGAUUUUUGAAAAUAAAUAAUAAUAAUCACCUGUGCACAGUCUCGCUUCUGUCUCAGUGUUCUGAUAAUAACUGUUAGGCUGUGUGAAGUCUCAGUGUUCUGAUAAUAACUGUUAGGCUGUGUGAAGUCUCAGUGUUCUGAUAAUAACUGUUAGGCUGUGUGAAGUCUCAGUGUUCUGAUAAUAACUGUUAGGCUGUGUGAAGUCUCAGUGUUCUGAUAAUAACUGUUAGGCUGUGUGAAGUCUCUGUGUUCUGAUAAUAACUGUUAGGCUGUGUGAAGUCUCAGUGUUCUGAUAAUAACUGUUAGUCUAGAUGACUAACUAGUCAUGAUGGCCUACUUUGUUUUCAUAGUGAACGCUUGUAUGCUGCUGUCAAUCAACACAAGUAAAUGGCUAGUGGAAGACAACAAUACUCUGACUGUGCCGGUCUUUGCAGUCUCCUUCAAUCCCUUUAGAAAUGAAACGCCCUUUAAUGGACAGCAUAUGGAUCCUGUAUUUGCACAGACAGUUGUCUGUGUCAUUGGCAGUGGCAACCCGCCCCUAAAAAAAAUGGUUGGAUUAUGGAUUUUAAAUGCUCAUAAAAGUGAGGUGUCGACUGGUGGUGAGACUGGAGGAACCUUUGUGAACCAGUCAUCUCAUCGUCCUCAGCCUAGAGCGAUGCCACUUUGUAGAAUGAGACCCUUCUCCUGACACAGGGAGGGUAGUCCUCCCCCAACCUUAGCAACCCGGACUCCCUACCUACCUACCUACCUACCUACCACUGCCUACCC